AUCCGGCUGACGAGUUCAAAAUAGGAGGAAAUGCGUGUUAUCCUGGAU
rnacentral:hammerhead_ribozyme from 1 species